CGCAGCUAUAACGCUAAUUGCCAGCAGCCAGUAAACAAAACAAAGAGGAAUAAAGACAGAAAGACACUGAAAGAUGUCUUGUACCGGACGUUUCGUUAAUGCUAAAGUAGCUGAGUUAGACCGGAUUACUUUGUUGCUGAACCGAAGCAAAGACUCGGAGCAACGGCUCAUUACGGCUAACACCAAAUGGAAAGCUGACUUCGACAAACUGAAACUUGACUUAAGAAGGAGUGAAGCCCAGACUAGAAAAUGCGAAAAAAUUAUAUCCAAAAUAACGAAUGAUGAUAUUUCAUGGUCAAAAAAGAAGAAAGGUGAUGCCACUACCCGGGAGCAGAAAAUGGACCUCGGCAAGGAAGACAACUAUGAAGUCCAAGAUAAAAUGCACAGCUUCCAUGAAAAGAACCAUCUCUCGGACAACGAGGAUUCCAACAGUAUGGAUGGUGAAAAACGCGAAGUAGAAAGUAGAGCAGCAAUAACCACGCAGAUGAAAUCCACAAUAAGAGAGCUGGAACUGAAAUUAAAGAACGAAUGCAUCCGUAGGAAAACAAUGGAGGAACAAAAUGCUGUUCAAAAUGAAAAAAUAAAGAACUUAGAGCUUGAGGUACAGGCUAUGAAAACUGAACGCACGUACUUGAAGAAAGAGGCCAAAACUGGCAAGACAUCACUAUCACGGUUAAAAAUAGAGGAGAAGCAAUUUUGUGAGUAUCGCUUAGACAAGACAAUCGAAAUUAUCAGUCUAGAAAAAGAAAUGACAGCUUUGGGAGCAGAAAAUGAAGCCUUUAGAAGUAAGGCAAUGCAAUAUAGCAAAAGACUUCAAAAAAGCGAGAAGAGCCUGUACGAUUGUCAAAACGAACUCGCACAGACGAAGAACAAUGUACAGAAACUACAAGAUGAAAAGAUAAUACUUGAAUCUAAGCUAAGUACUUGCAAUAUGGAGCAGCAGAAACUUAUACACCAGCAUAAUUUGCUGAAAAGGCAAAAAGACAAAGUCAAUACUGAAAAUCUCAACAUCAAGUACCAGAAAGAAAAAGAAAUUUCGGAAGCCAAGAAAAAGUAUUUGUUUUUGAGAAAAAAAUUUGAACAAUUGACAAGUCAGAAAAACGACCUGAAUACGAAGCUUCAACACUUCAAAAAUGUAAAAGAGAUCCAGUUCCAAAAAAUCCACAACUUGCAAAGUGACCUCACUACGAGAAACAACACCAUCCAACGUCAGAAAGAACAGAUUGAUUUCUUGGAGGGGACCACUCGGGAUUUGGAUCAAAAAUAUAUAAAGGAAAAGAGGG
rnacentral:lncRNA from 1 species